rnacentral:rRNA from 1 species
ACUCCUACGGGAGGCAGCAGUGGGGAAUUUUGGACAAUGGGGGCAAGCCCUGAUCCAGCCAUGCCGCGUGCGGGAAGAAGGCCUUCGGGUUGUAAACCGCUUUUGUCAGGGAAGAAAAGCUCUGGGCUAAUACCUCGGAGUGAUGACGGUACCUGAAGAAUAAGCACCGGCUAACUACGUGCCAGCAGCCGCGGUAAUACGUAGGGUGCGAGCGUUAAUCGGAAUUACUGGGCGUAAAGCGUGCGCAGGCGGUUGUGCAAGACAGAUGUGAAAUCCCCGGCUUAACCUGGAACUGCAUUUGUGACUGCACGGCUAGAGUGUGGCAGAGGGGAUGGAAUUCCGCGUGGUAGCAGUGAAAUGCGAUAGAUAUGCGGA